rnacentral:lncRNA from 1 species
CUACUAAACUACUCUCUCUCUCUCUCUCUCUCUCUAUAUAUAUAUUCAUUUUCAGCUGUUCAUUUUUAUAUCCAUUCAAUGAAUAAGAAACAAUAUCGAAAAUGUAUGAAAUUUGAUUUCUAAACACUUCAAAUGGUAUAGAACAUGUUCAACGGUGCCGAUCGUCAAUUUGGAGGCUCUAUCAUCGAAAACAAAUUGGUGACAAUGGAGCCCGUUUGCUAUCGAUAGUAUUCUAGCUCAACUCUAUAUAUAUAUAUAUAUAGAGAGAGAGAGAGAGAGAGAGAGAGAGAGAGAGAGAGAGAGAGAGAGAGAGANAGCUUUUGGAUCAACUCUUUUCAUUAUUUCUAACUAUUGGAUUAAAUACUAUAACCCAGUGGGAAUCACUCAACCCUAGGGGGACAACUCAACUCUAACCGACUAAUAUCAUCCUGACCCUAUAAUUUUUUAUCCAAAGGUUAAAAACUUGAUAGCAAAAAGAGCGGUUUACUAUUAAUAAUAUUCCAGCCUAAUUCUAUAUAUAUAUAUAUAUAUAUAUGAGCUAGUCUCCGAUACUAUCUAUAGUACCGGGACUCCGGUACUAUAGUCUCGUUUUCGAUGUUAGGGUGUUCAAAUCAACGAUCCACAUCGUUAAAACUGAUUUAUGGUAUUUAAAGUUUUUAGAAAUAAAAUUUUAUAUUUUUUCGACAUAGUUUACUUUAUAAUCAAACCAUUUCAAAAUUGUCAAUUUUCAAUGGUUACUAUAGCUAGUUUGGAGUUUAACGAUGUAGAAGAAUCUAAAUUUCUUCAAAUUUUGAUAGAAAAUAUUUUAAACUAUUUAGAUUAAGGUUAACAUUCUUAUCUUGAAUUUAAAAGUUCUAUACUCAAAUUUUAAAGAUUAUUCAAUUUUCACCGUCCAUUUUGACAUAAUUUAUUUACUAAGUAAACGAUGUCGAAAAAAAUUAAAAUUUUAUUCCUAAAAACUUCAUAUACCCUAGAUCAUAUUUAACGGUGUGGAUCGUUAAUUUAAACACCCUAAGAUCGAAAACAAGACUAUAGUAUCUGAGCAUCGGUACUAUAGAUAGUAUAGUAGCCUAAUUCUCUCUCUCUCUCUCUCUCUCUCUCUAUAUAUAUAUAUA